CGGAGGAUCCAAGCGUUAUCCGGAAUCAUUGGGUUUAAAGGGUCCGUAGCGGGUUUAUAAGUCAGUGGUGAAAGCCCAUCGCUCAACGAUGGAACGGCCAUUGAUACUGUAGAUCUUGAAUUAUUAGGAAGUAACUAGAAUAUGUAGUGUAGCGGUGAAAUGCUUAGAGAUUACAUGGAAUACCGAUUGCGAAGGCAGGUUACUACUAAUGGAUUGACGCUGAUGGACGAAAGCGUGGGUAGCGAACAGGAUUAGAUACCCUGGUAGUCCACGCCGUAAACGAUGGAUACUAGCUGUUCGGAGCAAUCUGAGUGGCUAAGCGAAAGUGAUAAGUAUCCCACCUGGGGAGUACGUUCGCAAGAAUG
rnacentral:rRNA from 1 species